AACACGAUCCAUUUCCAUGUUGGAGACAAUCGUGAACUGAAAUCUUUUUGUCAUUAGCUUGAUUUUAAUUCAGUUUCGCAGUAAAUGCGUAAUAGGUGGAAUAAAUGUGUUCCCCUCCCCUCGUUUUUUGAGGUCAGUGUGGAGGGAGAUAAGCUUCUGUUCAACGAGAUGAGAUGAGAAAUGCAAAGAGCAAAGAGCAAAGCAAAGAGAGCAACGAGCAGUGUAAUCAUCAUAAAAUGCACUCAGAUUUGGGUAAUUGUUGAUAGCAAAAUAAGCAGAACAAGAACAAGUAGAAGCCGAGAGAAAUAAACAAGAGAAGAGAUGUAGAUGGAGAUGGAGAGAGAAGACAAGUAGUAGAAAGAAGACAUGGAGACAACUUCGAUUCCAAUUGCUCGUGUCGCAGAGACGGAGAUGGAGACGGAGACUGAGACGGAGACUGAGACGUAGACAAAGUCGGAGGCUGGGAGAAUACCAAGAAGCGGCCUCGCGAAGUCGCUGCCGCAGUCAACGUUGCGCACAGUUUGCUGUACUUGGGGGCAAUUAAUUCGACAUUUUAAUUUACAUUUCAUGGGAACAUGAAGCAGCCACAGAUUUCAUUCAAUAUGGAAUUACGUUCAAAUAAAAUUGUCUUGCACUUACCGUAUCAAUUUUUGUAUUCCUGAUGAUUUCCACUUCAACUGCAAAGAAAAAAAUGAAAGAAAUGUUAAACGAAAUUUCAAUUUAAU